rnacentral:rRNA from 1 species
UAGGGUGACAUUUGCGACGUUGAACCACCUUGUUCCAUUCCGAACCAAGUAGUGAAAGACGUCAGCGCCGAUGAUACUCUGGCAAUAUGCCAGCGGGAAAGUAGGUCGUUGCCUCCU